rnacentral:rRNA from 1 species
AAGCCGGGGGCGAGGGUUGAAAUGACGCUCAGACAGGCAUGCCCGCCAGAAUACUAGCGGGCGCAAUGUGCGUUCAAAGAUUCGAUGAUUCACUGAAUUCUGCAAUUCGCAUUACUUAUCGCAUUUCGCUGCGUUCUUCAUCGAUGCCAGAGC